UCAAUUGGUGGUCAAGUUCGCAUUCGGCUGACUACAUCCGGUGGUCUUAUUGUGCUGUCUUUUUUUGUUUAUGUUUUGACAACUCUAUCUUCAGACCAAUAACCAAAACGAGAAUCAGUGACUGAGAACGGUUCUUGCUCAAAUUUGGCCAUGAUUAAAUUAGGGAAGGGCGGGGUGUUUUUUUGUAACCCUGUUACACUACUCCCUACUAACGGAAAAAAUAAUGAAGGCCUGAAUUAUUUUUUUUUUUGCCAAAUGUAGAUAUGUAAACUAAGUCUUAAUUUUAUUUCUAGGUGUGAGUAUUUUUUAAUAACUUUAAAUUCAUUUUUUUUUUAUUUUCUUUGAUAUUCUUUCUAAUUCGUUCAGUUUCAAAUUCAUUCAGUUUGGCCCAUCCCGAUUGCUCUGGAAGGAUUCCGAUUUUUAUGUACAAUGGUAUGUUUAUACCGCCUUGCCCCAAGGCAAAAUUUCAAACCGUCGUAAGUACUUAUUUAUGUUUGGUUCGCCAAGUAACCACUCAGCUAAAUCUCACUGCUCACGACUCCCCUUGACGGAACUCAAGAAAUAACAAUUCUUUCACAUUGAGUAACCACUCAACCAAACCAUUUUCAUAUACUUUUUACCCAUCCAGAGAAUUCCGGAGAAAAACUUCAAUUUUACUUUCGGUGUAUUUACGCCCACCGUUUUGUCGACUCUUAUCGUUUGCCUGUCAGUGGGUGGACCGACACCUGAAAGCUUUUUCGUGACGUUUUCUGCUGUCAUUCCAACCCUUCAACGAAGGAAGAAAACAGACAUGCACAAAUUUAAUGGUUGUUCGCAAGGAGCUCGGUUUUCUUGCUGCAAAAUUAAAAACUAUGAAACGUAAUCAAGGGUCCUGUUUUCGCUUCCCGAAGUGGCUGGAUGACCACGAAUUUGGAGAACCAGUCAGUUACUACGAGUAACACUGUAUUGCCGUUCUUGGACCGAGGAAAUGGCCCUACAAAAUCCACGGAGAUUACCUGCCAGGGCAACGAUGCCAGUUUUUGUCGUCCCAUUGGUGGCUUGCGAUUAGCAUUCGGGUACUUAACGCGCUUGCAGAUGUCACAGCCAAGGCAAUACUUCCUGACGUCAUCGUGCAUUUGAGGCCAAUAGUAAAGUUCCUGUAGCUUCCUCAGCGUCUUGAAUUGGCCAAAAUGAGCUGUGUCAUGUGCCUCAUGGAGUAGUUGAAUCUUCUCAUGAACCUGUGGGCCCAUCGUAUUAGCUUCGCUGAUCCUCCCUGGGCACUGAUCCGGCUAAGCCAAAUGAGGCUUUGGGCGUCGGUGAUGACUGUAAAUCUCGACCCCUCCACAAAGUGGCGAAAUUUUUCAAUGGCCAUGAGGACC